rnacentral:rRNA from 1 species
CCUACGGGUGGCAGCAGUGGGGAAUAUUGGGCCAUGGGCGCAAGCCUGACCCAGCAACGCCGCGUGAAGGAAGAAGGCCCUCGGGUUGUAAACUUCUUUUAUUCGGGACGAAACAAAUGACGGUACCGAAUGAAUAAGCCACGGCUAACUACGUGCCAGCAGCCGCGGUAAUACGUAGGUGGCAAGCGUUAUCCGGAUUUACUGGGUGUAAAGGGCGUGUAGGCGGGAGAGCAAGUCAGACGUGAAAUUCCAGGGCUCAACCCUGGAACUGCGUUUGAAACUGUUCUUCUUGAGUGAUGGAGAGGCAGGCGGAAUUCCGUGUGUAGCGGUGAAAUGCGUAGAUAUUAGGAGGAACACCAGUGGCGAAGGCGACUUUCUGGACUGUACCUGACGCUGAGGCGCGAAAGCGUGGGUAGCGAACGGGAUUAGAUACCCCGGUAGUC